CAGAGUUGCAAGACUCCCUAAACCAUUGUGAACCUACCUUCUACCGUUGCUUCGGCGGGCGGGCCCAGCGCCCCCGCCCCGCGGCGCCGCCGGAGGAUACCAAACUCUUGACAUUAGUGGCCUCUCUGAGUAUUCUUUACUGAAUAAGUCA
rnacentral:misc_RNA from 1 species